rnacentral:rRNA from 1 species
UACGGGGGGUGCGAGCGUUGUCCGGAAUCACUGGGCGUAAAGGGCGCGUAGGUGGCUUGGUAAGCGUGUGGUGAAAGCCCGGGGCUCAACCCCGGGUCUGCCAUGCGAACUGCUAUGGCUUGAGCACUGUAGAGGCAGGUAGAAUUCCGGGUGUAGCGGUGGAAUGCGUAGAGAUCCGGAAGAAUACCGGUGGCGAAGGCGGCCUGCUGGGCAGUGGCUGACACUGAGGCGCGACAGCGUGGGGAGCAAACAGG